rnacentral:rRNA from 1 species
GAUGAACGCUGGCGGCAUGCCUAAUACAUGCAAGUCGAACGAGAGGAAGGAAAGCUUGCUUUUCUGAAUCUAGUGGCGAACGGGUGAGUAACACGUAGGUAACCUGCCCAUGUGCCCGGGAUAACUUCUGGAAACGGAUGCUAAAACCGGAUAGGUAGCAGACAAGCAUUUGACUGCUAUUAAAGUGGCUAAGGCCAUGAACAUGGAUGGACCUGCGGUGCAUUAGCUAGUUGGGGAGGUAACGGCCCACCAAGGCGACGAUGCAUAGCCGGCCUGAGAGGGCGGACGGCCACAUGGGGACUGAGACACGGCCCAAACUCCUACGGGAGGUAGCAGUAGGGAAUUUUCGUCAAUGGGGGGAACCCUGAACGAGCAAUGCCGCGUGAGUGAGGAAGGUCUUCGGAUCGUAAAGCUCUGUUGUAAGAGAAAAACGACAUUCAUAGGGAAUGAUGAGUGAGUGAUGGUAUCUUACCAGAAAGUCACGGCUAACUACGUGCCAGCCGCCGCGGUAA